AGUAACACGUAUCCAAUCUACCUUAUAAUGGGGGAUAACUAGUUGAAAGACUAGCUAAUACCGCAUAAGAACUUUGGUUCGCAUGAAUCAAAGUUGAAAGGACCUGCAAGGGUUCGUUAUUUGAUGAGGGUGCGCCAUAUCAGCUAGUUGGUGGGGUAACGGCCUACCAAGGCAAUGACGUGUAGCUAUGCUGAGAAGUAGAAUAGCCACAAUGGGACUGAGACACGGCCCAUACUCCUACGGGAGGCAGCAGUAGGGAAUUUUUCACAAUGAGCGAAAGCUUGAUGGAGCAAUGCCGCGUGAACGAUGAAGGUCUUUAAGAUUGUAAAGUUCUUUUAUUUGGGAAGAAUGACUUUAGCAGGUAAUGGCUAGAGUUUGACUGUACCAUUUUGAAUAAGUGACGACUAACUAUGUGCCAGCAGUCGCGGUAAUACAUAGGUCGCAAGCGUUAUCCGGAUUUAUUGGGCGUAAAGCAAGCGCAGGCGGAUUGAAAAGUCUGGUGUUAAAGGCAGCUGCUUAACAGUUGUAUGCAUUGGAAACUAUUAAUCUAGAGUGUGGUAGGGAGUUUUGGAAUUUCAUGUGGAGGGGUGAAAUGCGUAGAUAUAUGAAGGAACACCAGUGGCGAAGGCGAAAACUUAGGCCAUUACUGACGCUUAGGCUUGAAAGUGUGGGGAGCAAAUAGGAUUAGAUACCCUAGUAGUCCACACCGUAAACGAUAGAUACUAGCUGUCGGGGCGAUCCCCUCGGUAGUGAAGUUAACACAUUAAGUAUCUCGCCUGGGUAGUACAUUCGCAAGAAUGAAACUCAAACGGAAUUGACGGGGACCCGCACAAGUGGUGGAGCAUGUUGCUUAAUUCGACGGUACACGAAAAACCUUACCUAGACUUGACAUCCUUGGCAAAGUUAUGGAAACAUAAUGGAGGUUAACCGAGUGACAGGUGGUGCAUGGUUGUCGUCAGC
rnacentral:rRNA from 1 species